rnacentral:tRNA from 1 species
GGGGAUCUAGCUCAGUUGGUAGAGUGUUUGCCUAGCAUACACAAGGUCCUGGGUUCAACUCCUAGCCCA